GAUGAACGCUGGCGGCGUGCUUAACACAUGCAAGUCGAACGGAAAGGCCAGUGCUUGCACUGGUACUCGAGUGGCGAACGGGUGAGUAACACGUGGGUGAUCUGCCCUGUACUUCGGGAUAAGCUUGGGAAACUGGGUCUAAUACCGGAUAGGACAACUUUUUGGAUAUUGUUGUGGAAAGCUUUUGCGGUAUGGGAUGAGCUCGCGGCCUAUCAGCUUGUUGGUGGGGUAAUGGCCUACCAAGGCGUCGACGGGUAGCCGGCCUGAGAGGGUGUACGGCCACAUUGGGACUGAGAUACGGCCCAGACUCCUACGGGAGGCAGCAGUGGGGAAUAUUGCACAAUGGGCGCAAGCCUGAUGCAGCGACGCCGCGUGGGGGAUGAAGGCCUUCGGGUUGUAAACUCCUUUCGCUAGGGUCGAAGCUUUUUUGUGACGGUACCUGGAGAAGAAGCACCGGCUAACUACGUG
rnacentral:rRNA from 1 species